rnacentral:rRNA from 1 species
GGGUUGUGAGGUUAAGCGACUAAGCGUACACGGUGGAUGCCCUGGCAGUCAGAGGCGAUGAAGGACGUGCUAAUCUGCGAUAAGCGCCGGUAAGGUGAUAUGAACCGUUAUAACCGGCGAUUUCCGAAUGGGGAAACCCAGUGUGAUUCGUCACACUAUCAUUAACUGAAUCCAUAGGUUAAUGAGGCGAACCGGGGGAACUGAAACAUCUAAGUACCCCGAGGAAAAGAAAUCAACCGAGAUUCCCCCAGUAGCGGCGAGCGAACGGGGAGGAGCCCAGAGCCUGAAUCAGUGUGUGUGUUAGUGGAAGCGUCUGGAAAGGCGCGCGAUACAGGGUGACAGCCCCGUACACAAAAAUGCACAUAUUGUGAGCUCGAUGAGUAGGGCGGGACACGUGGUAUCCUGUCUGAAUAUGGGGGGACCAUCCUCCAAGGCUAAAUACUCCUGACUGACCGAUAGUGAACCAGUACCGUGAGGGAAAGGCGAAAAGAACCCCGGCGAGGGGAGUGAAAAAGAACCUGAAACCGUGUACGUACAAGCAGUGGGAGCCUCUUUUAUGGGGUGACUGCGUACCUUUUGUAUAAUGGGUCAGCGACUUAUAUUCUGUAGCAAGGUUAACCGAAUAGGGGAGCCGAAGGGAAACCGAGUCUUAACUGGGCGUUAAGUUGCAGGGUAUAGACCCGAAACCCGGUGAUCUAGCCAUGGGCAGGUUGAAGGUUGGGUAACACUAACUGGAGGACCGAACCGACUAAUGUUGAAAAAUUAGCGGAUGACUUGUGGCUGGGGGUGAAAGGCCAAUCAAACCGGGAGAUAGCUGGUUCUCCCCGAAAGCUAUUUAGGUAGCGCCUCGUGAAUUCAUCUCCGGGGGUAGAGCACUGUUUCGGCAAGGGGGU